rnacentral:lncRNA from 1 species
UGCCAAAUGGCCAUCAGAGGAUUUAAUUUGUCAAUAGGCUGCAUGAAUACCCAGGCCACCUCCAUCUGCUGCUGUGACAGAACACAAUUAACAGGAAAAUCCCAGUUCAAUCUUUGGAGACUUAAAGUGCUCACUCAGAUGCACUGAACAAGAGGAAUGCUUCAGCUCGAAUCAGCUCCUGUCUUCUUUGGAAAUGCUGGCCUUGAGUGUCAUUGCACUUGGAGGAAGUGAAAGGUGCUCAUUUUCCAUCAGCAUCAGAUAUUCUGCAAAGGAGGCUGACAGAAGCCCCUGGUCCAGGAAGCCCAGAGGUGUGCAUCCCUGCACUCUGCCUGGAAGCCCUUUGCCACCACUGCCUCAACUUGGAGUUUCUAUGCUUAACCAUAGGAUAAACAUGCAACAUUUUCCAUACAGUGCUAACGCAAACCAGAAAUUACAAGAUUGGGAAUCUUUGCUACUAAAAUGUGAUUUCCUCUUCGCUGUAGCCGGGUCUGAGAGCUAAACAAAUUCACUUCACCAGUAACCCUGUGCAUGCGUGAAACAAAAGGUCUCAAUGAUAAAAUAACAUUGUUCGGUCCUCCCAUCCUCCCAUUCUCAUGCUUCUAAAAAAAAUAAAUAAAAAAAAAAGACUGAAAAACGGCCA